rnacentral:rRNA from 1 species
GACGAACGCUGGCGGCGUGCUUAACACAUGCAAGUCGAACGGAAAGGCCCUGCUUUUGUGGGGUGCUCGAGUGGCGAACGGGUGAGUAACACGUGAGUAACCUGCCCUUGACUUUGGGAUAACUUCAGGAAACUGGGGCUAAUACCGGAUAGGAGCUCCUGCUGCAUGGUGGGGGUUGGAAAGUUUCGGCGGUUGGGGAUGGACUCGCGGCUUAUCAGCUUGUUGGUGGGGUAGUGGCUUACCAAGGCUUUGACGGGUAGCCGGCCUGAGAGGGUGACCGGCUAGCGGGGGAGGGAAGGUGGACACAGACGACGGAGGGAGCGGGCGGUGGGGAAUAGUGGACGACGGGAGGAAGACGGACGGAGGAGGCCGGCGGGCGGGUGGGGCGCUUGGGGGUGGGAACCCGUGGGGGCGGGUGCAGGAGCAGGGGGGACGGUAGGGGAAGAAAACGCAGCGGCUAACGACAGGCAAGCAGCGGCGUGAAUAGUGGAAGAACCAACGUCUGACC